GAUGAACGCUGGCGGCGUGCCUAAUACAUGCAAGUCGAGCGAACGGACGAGAAGCUUGCUUCUCUGAUGUUAGCGGCGGACGGGUGAGUAACACGUGGAUAACCUACCUAUAAGACUGGGAUAACUUCGGGAAACCGGAGCUAAUACCGGAUAAUAUUUUGAACCGCAUGGUUCAAAAGUGAAAGACGGUCUUGCUGUCACUUAUAGAUGGAUCCGCGCUGCAUUAGCUAGUUGGUAAGGUAACGGCUUACCAAGGCAACGAUGCAUAGCCGACCUGAGAGGGGUAUCGGCCACACUGGAACUGAGACACGGUCCAGACUCCUACGGGAGGCAGCAGUAGGGAAUCUUCCGCAAUGGGCGAAAGCCUGACGGAGCAACGCCGCGUGAGUGAUGAAGGUCUUCGGAUCGUAAAACUCUGUUAUUAGGGAAGAACAUAUGUGUAAGUAACUGUGCACAUCUUGACGGUACCUAAUCAGAAAGCCACGGCUAACUACGUG
rnacentral:rRNA from 1 species